GUGAGGAAUAUUGCGCAAUGGACGAAAGUCUGACGCAGCCAUGCCGCGUGAAGGAUUGACGGCCCUAUGGGUUGUAAACUUCUUUUGUAUAGGAAUAAACCCUCGUUCGUGAACGAGGCUGAAGGUACUAUAAGAAUAAGCACCGGCUAACUCCGUGCCAGCAGCCGCGGUAAUACGGAGGGUGCAAGCGUUAUCCGGAUUUAUUGGGUUUAAAGGGUCCGUAGGCGGAUCGUUAAGUCAGUGGUGAAAUCCUACCGCUCAACGGUAGAACUGCCAUUGAUACUGGUGAUCUUGAGUAUGUAUGAAGUUGGCGGAAUGUGUGGUGUAGCGGUGAAAUGCUUAGAUAUCACACAGAACACCGAUUGCGAAGGCAGCUGACUAAUACACAACUGACGCUGAGGGACGAAAGUGUGGGGAUCAAACAGGAUUAGAUACCCGAGUAGUCC
rnacentral:rRNA from 1 species